AUUAAAGGUGUACGCCACCAACGCCCAGCUUAUGUUCCAUUUUUUUUGCAGUCUGUUUGUGAAUCAUCAGACAUGGCACAGAUUUUCUCUGUUAGCAGGAGGCCCAGAAGGCCAGAAGAGGGCACUCAACCUCCUGGAGCUGGAGUACCAGGCCAUAUGAGCUGCCGGACGUGGUUCUGGGAAUCAGACUCAGCUCGUCUGCAAGAGCAGUGACUUCUCAACUGCCGAGCCAUCUCUCCAGCAUCCUCCGUCUUAAAAACACCACAGAGUAGAGUCAGUGUUGUCUGCAUGUGCGUGGGUGUAGGGCCAUCUGCUGCAGCAUGGGUGUCUUACCAGGGGCCACACUGCAGAAUACCACUGAGCAUCUCUUAGCAUCUAGCACCUGCCCCAAAAUCUCCAGUCCAGGGUGGGGUUCACGAGCUCCUCCCUUGCAGAUUUUGGAUGUCCUGAUCUUGAGUGGGUCUCGUGCAUACACUCAGAAGGUGCUUUGGUUUCCCGAGGGUCAUGCUCCUUUUUUUUAAAUCAUUAACUUUAUUUUGUGUGCAUUGGUGUGAAGAUGUCAGAUCCUCUAGAACUGAAAUUACAGACAGUUGUGAGCCGCCAUGUGGGUGCUGGGAAUAGAACCCAGGUCCUCUGGAAGAGCAGCCUGUGCUGUUAUGCUGAGUCAUCUCUCCAGCCCCGAGGGUCUUGUUCUUGUUAUGAUCAGAACUCAUUAUUUUGUGGAUAUCCUCUCCAAAUUCACACUCUUAGGAUAUGUCUGCUGCUGCUUCUGGGGCAUUCUUUGGGCCUUGGGAAAGGAUGUGGUUAUGAUACAGAUACCCAAUCAGGGCUGAGCACUCCAAUGUCACUUAUUCUCUGCACUUGGACCACUUGUGAGUCUCUGAAUUAACUGCUAGUGGAGUUUAUCAGUGUGAAGCUGGCAGGGCUUUUCUUCAUGGUCUCCCCUGGCUUUCACUCCUCUAAUCAACUCUCCCAAAGUCUCUCUUUGGAGGGGAGACAGGAGACGAGGAGUGUUUCAAGGUGGACACACUCCUCGGCCUUACUCAUGAGGCCCAGGCCACCUCUCUGAGCUGAGGGCAGGGAGCUUUCCUUCCCCACGGACAGACAGGAAGACAGCAGGGAAGACUGGAAGGAAUCAGGAAGGAAUCUGAGAGGCAGGAAGAAGGCUAGCAGGUGUGGGAAAGGGGGGAGAGAGAAAUGGAAGACCACGGUGGUAAGUGCGGUGAACACAGGAUAGGAGUGACAGGAGUGACAGGAAUAGUCGUCAUGAAACCAUGUACAGCUUUUACACCAGCUCACAGGAUGCAAAGCUGAGGGGAUAUUGGCAGCCGACAGCUUCUGGGAAAGGGAGAACUGUUUCCUUUAGGGUGGCUCUCAUAGGUCGACCGUGCUCCAGGGAGCACCCACUCAUCCAAGAGAGUACCGGAAGCACCAAGUGCAAGAGGAUGGCUUAGAUGUUGAGGACACUUGUUGCCCUUGAAGGGGCCCUGAGUCCCACCCUUGGUGUCCACACGGCAGCUCACAACUGUCUGCAACUCCCCUCCCAGGGGAUCCAACUCUUUUUCCCGACGUCAGUGGGAGCCAGGAAUGUGCAUGGUGGACAUAUUAUACUUGCAGCCAAAGUGCUCACACGUAUAAAAUGAUUGGAUAAAAGUGCUAAAAGAGAACACAAGGCUGAAUGGGUGUGAGCUGGGGUGGAUCCAGGAGGAGUCUGGGACAAAAGAAUAAAUAAGACAAACAUAUUCGAAAUUCCCAAGGAGCCAACACCAAGAUGCACAGCUCAGGUAAUAUGGAGACAGAUAAAGACUGACAAUAAGCAGUAGACGAUGCCACAAGAGCAAUAGAGGGAAGCAGGGGCGUGGACAGAGGCCACCGCUGGUAGACAUUAAUUGACACACAGGGCUGGAGAGUCAAGCAUGAGAGAGUGGGACGGCCGAAUGGAGACACCAAGAGACGCUGUACGUAGGGAUCAGAGGUCUCCCCUUUCUGUCCUCACUCCUGUCUAUCCUCCUUUCCCUCCACUCCUGCCUCCUCUCUGUCUCAGACUCUCCGUGUUUCUCUCAUCUGUUCCCAACGCUUGGCAUUUCCUAUUCCACUUCCUCUGCGAGUGCUCAUGGGCAGUGCCCAUGGCUGUCCAUCCUGUGCCUCAAGCCUGGUGCCCAGAGCUGAGUGAAGCUUAUUGUUCAGGACCCGACAGGUGGUCUCACCCUGCGGCAAGUUCAGCAUCUGAGCAGCAGGAACUGUCCAGGGCCCCAUGGCUGAGCUCAGGGAUGCCACAUGUGGACAACUGGGGGCAACCCUGGGGAUGAGUCCUCUACCUCCUUCAAUUUUCCAGAGUUGGAGUUGAUGUCUGUGAAAGAGGAUGCCCAGAAUUGAGACUUACCGAUCAGUCUGUUACAGCUGUCCAAUAAGAGCUGUGCAAACACUUCUUGUUAGUCUACUUGAGAAUGACUUUACAAGGAUGGUAGCGUCAACCCAGCAUUAACUUCUUUAGGACUGGAGUUCAGUUAUGUGUUUAUGGCUCUCUCUCUGCUGCGUUUAGUAAAUGAUUCUGUGAUGAAUAAACGAACUGUGAAA